rnacentral:rRNA from 1 species
ACGCUGGCGGCGUGCUUAACACAUGCAAGUCGAACGCUGAUGGCCCAGCUUGCUGGGUUGGAUGAGUGGCGAACGGGUGAGUAACACGUGAGUAACCUGCCCCCUUCUUUGGGAUAACGGUUGGAAACGGCUGCUAAUACCGGGUAUUCACUGUCCUUCGCAUGGGGGGUGGUGGAAAGGUUUUUUCUGGUGGGGGAUGGGCUCGCGGCCUAUCAGCUUGUUGGUGGGGUGAUGGCUUACCAAGGCUUUGACGGGUAACCGGCCUGAGAGGGUGACCGGUCACAUUGGGACUGAGAUACGGCCCAGACUCCUACGGGAGGCAGCAGUGGGGAAUAUUGCACAAUGGGCGAAAGCCUGAUGCAGCGACGCCGCGUGAGGGAUGGAGGCCUUCGGGUUGUAAACCUCUUUCGCUCAUGGUCAAGCCGCAACUUGGGUUGUGGUGAGGGUAGUGGGUAAAGAAGCACCGGCUAACUACGUGCCAGCAGCCGCGGUAAUACGUAGGGUGCGAGCGUUGUCCGGAAUUAUUGGGCGUAAAGGGCUUGUAGGCGGUUUGUCGCGUCUGCCGUGAAAUCCUCUGGCUUAACUGGGGGCGUGCGGUGGGUACGGGCAGGCUUGAGUGCGGUAGGGGAGACUGGAACUCCUGGUGUAGCGGUGGAAUGCGCAGAUAUCAGGAAGAACACCGGUGGCGAAGGCGGGUCUCUGGGCCGUUACUGACGCUGAGGAGCGAAAGCGUGGGGAGCGAACAGGAUUAGAUACCCUGGUAGUCCACGCUGUAAACGUUGGGCACUAGGUGUGGGGGCCAUCCCGUGGUUUCUGCGCCGUAGCUAACGCUUUAAGUGCCCCGCCUGGGGAGUACGGCCGCAAGGCUAAAACUCAAAGGAAUUGACGGGGGCCCGCACAAGC